rnacentral:rRNA from 1 species
AUUGAACGAUGGCGGCGUGCUUAACACAUGCAAGUCGAGCGGAGCGGCGAACGGGUGAGUAACGCGUGAGUAACUGCCCCCCUCUCUGGGAUAAAAGUUGGAAAAGGCUGCUAAUACCGGAUAGUGGGGGUUGCCUCGCGUCCUAUCAGCGUGUGGGUGGGGUAGUGGCCUCCCCAGGCGACGACGGGUAGCCGGCCUGAGAGGGCGACCGGCCACAUUGGGCUGAGAUACGGCCCAAACUCCUACGGGAGGCAGCAGUGGGGAAUAUUGCACAAUGGGGGAAACCCUGAUGCAGCAACGCGCGUGCGGGAUGACGGCCUUCGGGUUGUAAACCGCUUUCAGCCAUGACGCGGUAGUGGCAGAAGAAGCAACGGCUAACUACGUGCCAGCAGCCGCGGUAAUUC